GACGAACGCUGGCGGCGUGCUUAACACAUGCAAGUCGAACGGAAAGGCCCUGCUUGCAGGGUGCUCGAGUGGCGAACGGGUGAGUAACACGUGGGUGAUCUGCCCCUUACUUUGGGAUAAGCCUGGGAAACUGGGUCUAAUACUGGAUAGGACCAUGCUGUAGGUGGUGUGGUGGAAAGAUUAGUUUCGGUAAGGGAUGAGCUCGCGGCCUAUCAGCUUGUUGGUGGGGUGAUGGCCUACCAAGGCGUCGACGGGUAGCCGGCCUGAGAGGGUGGACGGCCACAUUGGGACUGAGAUACGGCCCAGACUCCUACGGGAGGCAGCAGAGGGGAAUAUUGCACAAUGGGCGCAAGCCUGAUGCAGCGACGCCGCGUGGGGGAUGACGGCCUUCGGGUUGUAAACUCCUUUCAGCCAUGACGAAGCCCUUGUGGUGACGGUAGUGGUAGAAGAAGCACCGGCUAACUACGUG
rnacentral:rRNA from 1 species